GGGACAUUAAUAAUUUAGGGGCUUUGUCCUCGCGGUGAACCGCAUGUAUAUGCGUAAAUCAGAGCCCAUGUGUAUGUGUGUGUAUGUGUGUGUGUGCGUGUGCGUUCUGCGCGCGCUCUGUUCACUAGCUGCGGCAACAAGUAGCGUUUUGGACUCGAGCCCGUUCGACACGAAAAGAUAAUAAGACAUAAAUAUCUGUAUAUAUCCAUAUAAUACUUGUAAUGCAUUGUAUUUAUAAACGACGGUAAAACGUUUUGGUCUUAUAUUAUGGUCUCUAUAGUGUGCGAAAUACACGCCCGGAAAACGAUAACCGCGCGUGAUGUACGACGUCCACGUGAGCCCUUCUACUUGCGGGUCGCCGCAUGGCGCCCGGUCGUUAAAUUGAUGUCCACGGUGUGUGUUUCACUCAAACGGUAGCGCUAAAUAUUUUAUCCGGACGGUCUUUGACG